rnacentral:rRNA from 1 species
GAUGAACGCUGGCGGCGUGCCUAAUACAUGCAAGUCGAGCGAACGGACGAGAAGCUUGCUUCUCUGAUGUUAGCGGCGGACGGGUGAGUAACACGUGGAUAACCUACCUAUAAGACUGGGAUAACUUCGGGAAACCGGAGCUAAUACCGGAUAAUAUUUUGAACCGCAUGGUUCAAAAGUGAAAGACGGUCUUGCUGUCACUUAUAGAUGGAUCCGCGCUGCAUUAGCUAGUUGGUAAGGUAACGGCUUACCAAGGCAACGAUGCAUAGCCGACCUGAGAGGGUGAUCGGCCACACUGGAACUGAGACACGGUCCAGACUCCUACAGGAGGCAGCAGUAGGGAAUCUUCCGCAAAGGGCGAAAGCCUGACGGAGCAACGCCGCGUGAGUGAUGAAGGUCUUCGGAUCGUAAAACUCUGUUAUUAGGGGAGAACAUAUGUGUAAGUAACUGUGCACAUCUUGACGGUACCUAAUCAGAAAGCCACGGCUAACUACGUG